rnacentral:rRNA from 1 species
GGACUACCCGGGUUUCUAAUCCUGUUUGAUCCCCACGCUUUCGGGCAUCAGUGUCAGUGUUGGGCCAGCUACCCGCCUUCGCCACCGGUAUUCCUCCAGAUAUCUACGUAUUUCACCACUACACCUGGAAUUCUAGUAGCCUCUCCCACACUCAAGCCUUGCAGUAUCAAAUGCACGUCCAGGGUUGAGCCCUGGGAUUUCACACCUGACUUACAAAGCCACCUACACCCGCUUUACGCCCAAUGAUUCCGAACAACGCUAGGAUCCCUCGUCUUACCGCGGCUGCUGGCAC